AAUCCCUGCGGGGGAAAGAUUUAUCGCUAUUAGAUGAGCCUACGUUAGAUUAGCUAGUUGGUAAGGUAAUGGCUUACCAAGGCUAUGAUCUAUAGCUGGUCUGAGAGGACGAUCAGCCACACUGGAACUGAGAUACGGUCCAGACUCCUACGGGAGGCAGCAGUGGGGAAUAUUGGACAAUGGGCGAAAGCCUGAUCCAGCUAUGCCGCGUGAGUGAAGAAGGCCUUCGGGUUGUAAAGCUCUUUCAAUAGGGAAGAUAAUGACGGUAC
rnacentral:rRNA from 1 species